CUCUCUCUUCCUCUCAGAACCAACCCAGCCCCAAUCCAAUCCCAAAAACAACAAUCGAUCAUUGAUGCGAACCUCACCAACAUAAGCUUCAACCCAGAUUGAGUUUGAUUUUUGAAAUCCCCAAAUCGUUCGACCAACCCUAGAUCAGUUGCUUCACUUGCUUGGUUGAAGUGGUUGCUCAGAGACUUAUACGGUGUUCAAUUGGUGUUUCCGAGCACAAAUAAUUAGGAAAGUCCUUUGAAGCUUGAAGGUAUUGACCAUGGAUUUUAGUUGAGGCUUUAUCAGUUUAUCCUGAGGCAGGGAGGUGAUCGAGGUCUUUGAUUAGACCAUGGCUUCUAGAAGUAGGUCAGGAAGUAAUUGUUGUUCAUCUCCUUCCAUAACUUCAAACAUGGUUACUGGAAGUUAUCAAUCUGUUAGUGUUUCCCCAAAUGAUAACCAAAACCCUUUACCACCAGUAGGUAACUUACCACCAAUAGAUAAUAGUACCCCAACUGAAACACCUAACUUAGUUCCCACUACAACCCCAACUGAAACACCAAAUCCAGAUCCUGAAUUGGUGGAAGCUACUGCGGGGCUGGGGAAAAGAAAAGGAGUAGAUAAGACCA